rnacentral:tRNA from 1 species
GCCCUUGUAGCUCAAUGGUAGAGCGCCGGCCUGUCAAGCCAAAGGCCAGUGGUUCGAUCCCCGUGCGGGACA